rnacentral:rRNA from 1 species
AUGGUUCAUGCAGAGAACGGGGCUGCUGUUGCUGAGGGACAACAGCGGAUGAUUGACCUUGGGAUAACUGGUCCAGAAGGGCAUGCUCUCUCAAGACCUCCAGUUUUGGAAGGCGAGGCAACUUCACGGGCAAUUCGAUUAGCAAAAUUCGUCAAUACACUGUUGUAUGUUGUUCAUGUGAUGAGUACUGAUGCAAUGGAAGAGAUUGCCAAGGCUAAAAGAGAAGGUCAGAGAGUCAUCGGGGAACCUGUGGUAUCUGGGCUAGUCCUUGAUGAUUCUUGGCUUUGGGAUCCUGACUUUGCAACUGCUUCAAAGUAUGUGAUGAGUCCUCCAAUCCGGGAAGCUUAA